ensembl:lncRNA
GUCUACAAGUUCAGAAACAGGAAACAGUGCUUGUGCUGCUUGCCAGGGCAUACGAAUCGAGGUCGUUGUAACAUAGGAAAUCAACAUCAGAGGAUGAGCAGCAGUCUUCAAGAACAAAACAGUCCUUCGUGAGAAACAGUGACGUGAAGUUGUGUUUCUGUGAACACAAGCCCUUCUCAUCCCAAGUCUGAUGACUGGAGUGUUUUCUUUCCCCACCUCAACAACGUUAUGGUCAAAUGACAUCAUGAUAUUCAUUAUGGAAGCAUGUCUGUCACUAAUAACGUAUCAAGCAGAGGUCUUGAUAUGAUCUGCAGCUGAUCAGUUGAUUAGGUUUGACCUGCAGGAAAAGCCUGGCCACAGCCUGCCACAGGCUUGCCAAACAUGACGUACAGAAGCAUCCUUGUUGCAGCCCCAGUGGGAAUAUGCAGGCUUGAAAAACACACCUGAGUCCAUCCCUCUCCAUGGCAACAGAGUCAGAUAAUGACCAUCCAUCAGCAGGAAGAGGGUGAUCCCGUGACAGCAAGAGUUUUCGAGGGCAAUGCAUGAACAACACCCCUGCAACAUGUUUGUUUUGGCGGUAGACAUGGACGCACAGCCAGGCAAGCCUGCCAGAGGAGCUUUCAGAGGAAACCCAAGAUUCCUGCCUUGGAAGAAGGAACAAAGAUGUAAAUGUUCCCUGUUUCCUGGGAGGAGGAGGGCAAAUAGGCAUCUGCUGAGCUGGAGCCUCUCAUAUUUACCAGGUGAACAGAAUACUGCCCUUCUAAACCUCCCAGCACCUUGCACAGAACUUCAAAUCUCUUCCAUUUAAGCUUGUUAGUUGUAAGUAGAAGAAAUCAGGGAAGUAGCUGGAGGAAAACUAAAUGAGAGAGGAAAGGAGUCAUCUACUGUCUACCCUCCCCAAGGGCAAGGUAUGGUUGAUACUUAUUGUCUGGAACCUCGUCAGAUACCAUGGCAGGAACUGUAAACAAUAAGCAUCCAAAAGGCUGAGGGGACCUAAAGCCAAGUUGGAGAUGCAACGUGAAUACUGGAUAGGAUGCUUCGUGGCCUGACCGAUGAUCGGCGGAAUGCGGUUGCAACAGAGACCUCGAGUCCAAAUGGAGAGAAAAACUAAUCUGCAAGGCUCUGGAUUAAACACUCUCUGCUAAAAACAUGGCCUAUUUAAUACACAUCACUCCAGCGCAUACUGUUAUGGCUGUACAGUGGUAAAGUAACUGUGUAGUCAUUAGACAAAUAUAUUGCUUUUCUAAUGCAUUUCUCUAAUAAAAAAGAAAAGAGUAAAGUGAUUUUUAAAU